AGUGAUAUUGUUGAUGUUCCAGAGCUGUCGAACGAUACCAGACAGCACACGUAUUAUCAACUACCCUACCCUCGUAGUAGGAUCAAUGUGAAAAGACAGCAAAUGAAAACUGGUAUUUUCAACGUUUUAUGGUUUCAUGUUGGCACAUUUCUACAACCCAAGUGCCAUCACUAUUUUAUUUUCCUGAAUCAAUUUUAGUUUUUUCUUUGCCUGUGACAGUACAGCAACCGAUAUCUUUCUAUGAUUCUACAUGCUCUAACCCGUCUAUUUAUUGUUUCAGGGGAAUUCGAGGAAUUUUCAUGGAGAGGUGAUUGACUGUGGACAGCAUGUUGGACACUCGGAUGUGUCGAACUUCAUCAGGACGCAUGACAUCCAAGGGGAGGAUAGACGGAUACUUCAGGGCUGCUACGAUCUUUUUGAAUCGAAGCCAGAUUUCGUUUGGCAAAAUUGCUCCAUCGAAGUCAUGUGCUCGUCAGUUGAUGUAAAGUUCGUGUCUGGAGAUGAAAGCAAUCGAUACAUCUUACGUUUUAGAGAAGGUGGCAUUUGGAUGGCGGUUCUGAGAGAAGAAAUACGCACAAACAUCUUCAAUGUGUAUGAGUGGUCACGUAGACUCGUGCAGGGAGUUGGAGAAGCAGUUGCUGGAGCUAUCCAGCAAAAUCC